rnacentral:SRP_RNA from 1 species
GCUGGGUGUGGUGUUGGGCGCCUGUAAUCUCAGCUACUCAAGAGGUUGAGGUAGGAGAAUCGCUUGAACCCAGGGGGCGGAGCUUGCAGUGAGCCGAGAUCACGCCACUGCAAACUCCAGCCUGGGUGACAGAGCGAGACUCCAUCUCAA